rnacentral:rRNA from 1 species
GGGUUGUGAGGUUAAGCGACUAAGCGUACACGGUGGAUGCCCUGGCAGUCAGAGGCGAUGAAGGACGUGCUAAUCUGCGAUAAGCGUCGGUAAGGUGAUAUGAACCGUUAUAACCGGCGAUUUCCGAAUGGGGAAACCCAGUGUGUUUCGACACACUAUCAUUAACUGAAUCCAUAGGUUAAUGAGGCGAACCGGGGGAACUGAAACAUCUAAGUACCCCGAGGAAAAGAAAUCAACCGAGAUUCCCCCAGUAGCGGCGAGCGAACGGGGAGGAGCCCAGAGCCUGAAUCAGUGUGUGUGUUAGUGGAAGCGUCUGGAAAGGCGCGCGAUACAGGGUGACAGCCCCGUACACAAAAAUGCACAUGCUGUGAGCUCGAUGAGUAGGGCGGGACACGUGGUAUCCUGUCUGAAUAUGGGGGGACCAUCCUCCAAGGCUAAAUACUCCUGACUGACCGAUAGUGAACCAGUACCGUGAGGGAAAGGCGAAAAGAACCCCGGCGAGGGGAGUGAAAAAGAACCUGAAACCGUGUACGUACAAGCAGUGGGAGCACGCUUAGGCGUGUGACUGCGUACCUUUUGUAUAAUGGGUCAGCGACUUAUAUUCUGUAGCAAGGUUAACCGAAUAGGGGAGCCGAAGGGAAACCGAGUCUUAACUGGGCGUUAAGUUGCAGGGUAUAGACCCGAAACCCGGUGAUCUAGCCAUGGGCAGGUUGAAGGUUGGGUAACACUAACUGGAGGACCGAACCGACUAAUGUUGAAAAAUUAGCGGAUGACUUGUGGCUGGGGGUGAAAGGCCAAUCAAACCGGGAGAUAGCUGGUUCUCCCCGAAAGCUAUUUAGGUAGCGCCUCGUGAAUUCAUCUCCGGGGGUAGAGCACUGUUUCGGCAAGGGGGUCAUCCCGACUUACCAACCCGAUGCAAACUGCGAAUACCGGAGAAUGUUAUCACGGGAGACACACGGCGGGUGCUAACGUCCGUCGUGAAGAGGGAAACAACCCAGACCGCCAGCUAAGGUCCCAAAGUCAUGGUUAAGUGGGAAACGAUGUGGGAAGGCCCAGACAGCCAGGAUGUUGGCUUAGAAGCAGCCAUCAUUUAAAGAAAGCGUAAUAGCUCACUGGUCGAGUCGGCCUGCGCGGAAGAUGUAACGGGGCUAAACCAUGCACCGAAGCUGCGGCAGCGACGCUUAUGCGUUGUUGGGUAGGGGAGCGUUCUGUAAGCCUGUGAAGGUGUGCUGUGAGGCAUGCUGGAGGUAUCAGAAGUGCGAAUGCUGACAUAAGUAACGAUAAAGCGGGUGAAAAGCCCGCUCGCCGGAAGACCAAGGGUUCCUGUCCAACGUUAAUCGGGGCAGGGUGAGUCGACCCCUAAGGCGAGGCCGAAAGGCGUAGUCGAUGGGAAACAGGUUAAUAUUCCUGUACUUGGUGUUACUGCGAAGGGGGGACGGAGAAGGCUAUGUUGGCCGGGCGACGGUUGUCCCGGUUUAAGCGUGUAGGCUGGUUUUCCAGGCAAAUCCGGAAAAUCAAGGCUGAGGCGUGAUGACGAGGCACUACGGUGCUGAAGCAACAAAUGCCCUGCUUCCAGGAAAAGCCUCUAAGCAUCAGGUAACAUCAAAUCGUACCCCAAACCGACACAGGUGGUCAGGUAGAGAAUACCAAGGCGCUUGAGAGAACUCGGGUGAAGGAACUAGGCAAAAUGGUGCCGUAACUUCGGGAGAAGGCACGCUGAUAUGUAGGUGAAGUCCCUCGCGGAUGGAGCUGAAAUCAGUCGAAGAUACCAGCUGGCUGCAACUGUUUAUUAAAAACACAGCACUGUGCAAACACGAAAGUGGACGUAUACGGUGUGACGCCUGCCCGGUGCCGGAAGGUUAAUUGAUGGGGUCAGCGCAAGCGAAGCUCUUGAUCGAAGCCCCGGUAAACGGCGGCCGUAACUAUAACGGUCCUAAGGUAGCGAAAUUCCUUGUCGGGUAAGUUCCGACCUGCACGAAUGGCGUAAUGAUGGCCAGGCUGUCUCCACCCGAGACUCAGUGAAAUUGAACUCGCUGUGAAGAUGCAGUGUACCCGCGGCAAGACGGAAAGACCCCGUGAACCUUUACUAUAGCUUGACACUGAACAUU